rnacentral:ncRNA from 1 species
AAGAACCGUAUGAAGGGAGACCUUUACAUACGGUUCUGUGAGAAGUUUGAGGUGGGAUUUCUUUUGCUUGCUUGAC